UUGGCACAGACCAUUCCCAGCACAUUAGUUUCUUUGCCUCCUUCCCCUUUCCUCAGACCAGUCAUCAGCUGGAUUCCCACAGCAGCCUAUGAGGUUGGUGUGGUUGUUGCAGAUGAGGGAACUGAGGCUUAAGGAGGCAGUGCCUCUGCUUACUCUGCCUCGUCCCAGGGCAGCGAAGGACCAGUGGCCUCACUCACCACCAGCCUGACCUGCAUGUGGCGUUAAUUGUAGGGGAUGCUGUGGGCCCAGGGAAGCAGCCUCCAAGGCCACUGCUGCAGUGCAGUGGCAUGAUCAUGGUUUACUGCAGACUUGAUCUCCUGGACCCAGAUGAUUCGCCCACCUCAGCCUCCUGGACUACAAGUGUGUGCCACCACCCCUGGCAGCUCCUGCUUGUGUGCUUGAUUUGUGGAGCUGAUGCCUACUCCUAGCUGCAAGGGAGGCUGGCAAAGUGAAAUCAUAGCCUCCAUUUGGGAUAGAAGGCAAGAAGGCCUCAAGUGUAUGAAGACUGUAAAAAGGUGCAGCACAGCUAGAAAACAUGACGAAGGUCCAUGGGCUGGAAUGUAGAAGUGGACUUUUGGCCACGUGGAUGAGGAAUUGAAGCAGUCAGUUCUGAUCUAGAGAUGGAAGGCGCCUGCUGAGGACAGCAGGGCUGCUUGGCACCCUGGGUCCCUGAAUGGCUCUGUGGAGCACUGCCUGAUGGCCCACCCUGGACUGUUGCCUGAGACAGAAAUAAACUUUUAUCUUGUUUCAAACACUGCAUUUUGGUGUUUCCUUGUUCAAGCAACUUAUCUACUAUGCCAUAUUCCAACAACUGUAAUACUAGCAAAUAUUUGCUUUUCUCACUGAGUUUUUAUGUUUUGUAGAGAGACAUCCUCCCCAUGGCAGAGAAAAU
rnacentral:lncRNA from 10 species